AGGCUAAAGGAGAGCUUGCUUGGAUGCUGAGUGGAUGCAUUACAGCCCUGUGACUGUCUCUCUUUCAGAUCAAACUAGCGUUGUGCUUUCAAAAUUGGGCUGCAUGAAUGCCAGGAGAUCCAUUGUUGCGUGGGAAGAAAACAUUACAAUAUUGACAUAUAUUUAUCUGAUGCUCAAAACAUUUAAUUUCUAUUUUGGGGUUGUAAUAUGCCUAAUAUAUCAAUACUGUACUGCAUAUAUGAUUAAUUGAUAACAUAUAUUGGCAGUGCCUGCUUAAGAUAAUUUUACUGAUAAGGAGGUAGAAUCCUUACAAGUUUGUUGGCCACUCUGCCAAAGAACUCUGAAACUGGCGUUCCUCCCUGCCCAUUUAUGGAUGGGCCCAUGAAGAAAACAAAAACAAAAGACACGUUUGAGGAUCUUUAUCAGUCCGAUUGUCUUGACACCUUGAAGUUGGUAGAGAUUCAGUUUGUGAGAACCUUCCAACACAGGUGAAAUUGCAGCAAAAAAGGAAGAGCAAACUUUGAAUGAUCUUGUGAAUCUUUUGCAAGAUGUGGUAAAAAAUAUCCCCACAGAACUUGUAUUGUCAACUGAACCACCAGCAACUCUUUUGGUACCCAGGCUAGUAACUUCUCCCUCUGUAGCAAUGGACACUGUUUGGGUGAAUGUGAACCCCCAAAAUAGUGACAAGUCCAGAACAAUUGCCUUGAUGAAAAAGGAUACUCCAACUACAACAGCCUUUUGGAAACUCAGAAAUGACGCAUCUGCAUCUGUUAUCCUGCAUUCCAACCCAAGUCCCUCAGAAUAUCUCCCAAGUGACACAAGUGAGUCUGUUAUUCUGAUUUCUGAAGAGCCAAAUCCAGGAAAUACAUUGGGCACCAUUUCAGUUCAGUUGGAAAAAGAAGCAACCACUAAGAAAGAAGCUCCACCUAUAACAGAAAUGAAGUUGGACAUAGAGCUGCCUUCCUCCCUCUCAUCUGAAGCAUCUGAGACAGAAAUAAAGCUGGACAUAGAUAUCACUCCUUCCUCGUCCACAGUUCCACCCACCACGCAAGUGGAGAUAGAAAUGUCUCCUUCCCCAUCAACAACUGCAUCUGUACCAGAAGUGGACAUCAUUUUGCCUGCAUCUGAGUCUCCGGAAAAGAAAGCAGAAGACACAGAAAAAGAAAUGGGGAAAUUAAAAGCAUUUAUUAAUUUAUUAUAUGGCUUUAGUCCUGAAUUAACUGAAUAUGCAGAGAAUUCACCACAUAAAAAGAUGGCUCAGGAUAUUGUUGAAAGAUCAAUGGAAGUCCUUGAUGCCAUAAAGAGUGUUUUUUGCGGAAAUCCUAAAAAGCAAAGUAAACAGAUUUUGAAGCAGUUGUUACAGAAAGACAUGGAGCUUGUAAGACAAGCCAUGAAGGGAAAAAAAGCCUCUUAAGAUACAUUUACUGCUUGGUACUGUAGGUUUUUAUGAACAAUCAAGAGGUCUGGUUUCUUAAUUGUAACAGCAAUUGAAAUACACCUGUAGCCAUUUUCAUGCCUGAAAUUAAAUGUUUGUUUUUAAACAUUUUUG
ensembl:lncRNA